rnacentral:rRNA from 1 species
CCAAGGAGUCUAGCGUGUGCGCGAGUCAUUGGGAUAACACUAAACCUAAAGGCGCAAUGAAAGUAAAAGUUCGUCUAGCGCGAACCGAGGGAAGACGGUUGGUCCAAUUCGGACUGGCCCGCAUUCCCGGGGCGUCUCGUUCUCAUUGCGAGAAGAGGCGCACCAAGAGCGUACACGCUGGGACCCGAAAGAUGGUGAACUAUGCCUGGUCAGGACGAAGUCAGGGGAAACCCUGAUGGAGGUCCGUAGCGAUUCUGACGUGCAAAUCGAUCGUCGGAACUGGGUAUAGGGGCGAAAGACUAAUCGAACCAUC